AAACCACACAUAUUUAAAGUGUACAUACUUUGAACCACAUAUAUUAUAAAUUGAAAGGGACAAGAAAUUAAGAAUGAUAAUUUUUUGCUAUCAGGGCUAUUUUACCUCUCAAAUUCUUGCACAGUAAAGUAUAAAAAUCCACUUAGCUUGUGUGGUAUUUGUGCAGUUAUUAAAACAGAUAUAGUGCUUUUCAUAAAGAGUUUUUUUUUUUUUUAAAAAGAUAGAUAUAAUAAUCAGACUGUCUUUAAGAUUUGAUACUGACAAUGUCUCUUCUCUUGAACUUGUCAGUUUGGUCUGUUUUGAUGUACAAAUACUUUUCUCCUCUUACUUCAUACAGUUGAAAAUACAAACUACUAUAAAGAUGAA